rnacentral:tRNA from 1 species
GCCUGGCUGACUCAGUCAGUGGAGCAUGUGACUCUUGAUCUCAGGGUCAUGAGUUCGAGCCCCAUGUUGGGUG